AACGAACGCUGGCGGCAUGCCUAACACAUGCAAGUCGAACGAGACCUUCGGGUCUAGUGGCGCACGGGUGCGUAACACGUGGGAAUCAGCCCUUUGCUUCGGAAUAACAGUUAGAAAUGACUGCUAAUACCGGAUGAUGUCGAAAGACAAAAGAUUUAUCGGCAAAGGAUGAGUCCGCGUAGGAUUAGGCAGUUGGUGGGGUAAAGGCCUACCAAGCCGACGAUCCUUAGCUGGUCUGAGAGGAUGAUCAGCCGCACUGGGGCUGAGACACGGCCCAGACUCCUACGGGAGGCAGCAGUGGGGAAUAUUGGACAAGGGGCGAAAGCCUGAUCCAGCAAUGCCGCGUGAGUGAGGAAGGCCUUAGGUUUGUAAAGCUCUUUUACCAGGGAUGAUAAUGACAGUACCUGGAGAAUAAGCUCCGGCUAACUCCGUG
rnacentral:rRNA from 1 species